rnacentral:rRNA from 1 species
CCUACGGGUGGCAGCAGUGAGGAAUAUUGGUCAAUGGCCGGAAGGCUGAACCAGCCAUGCCGCGUGAAGGUCAGUGCCCUAUGGGCGUUAAACUUCUUUUGUGCGGGAGCAAUAAUGGUCACGUGUGGCCAGACGAGAGUACCGUACGAAUAAGCAUCGGCUCACUCCGUGCCAGCAGCCGCGGUAAUACGGGGGAUGCAAGCGUUAUCCGGAUUUAUUGGGUUUAAAGGGUGCGUAGGCUGGGAGGUAAGUCAGCGGUGAAAUGCCCCCGCUCAACGGGGUGAAGUGCCAUUGAUACUGCAUUGCUGGAAGGCGGAUGAGGUAGGAGGAAUGUGUGGUGUAGCGGUGAAAUGCAUAGAUAUCACACAGAACACCGAUUGCGAAGGCAGCUCACGAAUCCGCGAUUGACGCUGAUGCACGAAAGCGUGGGUAUUAAACAGGAUUAGAUACCCGAGUAGUC